CCUAUGGCACACUCUGAUUACUUCAGUGGAAGGAGCCUGCUCCCCAACACCACACUAUGCGGCUGGAUUGCUCCCACCAUGUCAUCUGCUCAGGUUUCCAACUUUUAGGCCAGACUUGGCUGCUUACAGCUCCAGGAAGAGCUGAAGAGGACCCAGCAAGGCAGGUAUUGCUGACUCCACUUCAGAGAUGCGGAAAAGGAGGCUCCGGGAGGUUAAGUGACUUGCCUCGGGUUACAGAGCUGAAAAUGCCUGCAUGGGUCAGCUCCCACCCCCCAACUCCAGUCAUUGGAUCCAUUCCCUGGACCCCAGUACCAGUCAGUGGAGUGGAGCAGAAUCAGAAGUGGACACUCAAUCAACUCCCAAAACAGAUCCCCAGUCCCCAGCGCCUUCUGGCUUGCCUUGAAAUCAGCCCCCUCCGAGGUCCCCGCUCGCUCACCAUGUCUCCCAGCGGCUCGGGCCUGUGGGCAGCAGAACUGGCCCAGGCGGCUUCCUCCGGGCGGCCCGGGCUCACUUCCUGCUCGCUCCCGCCGUCGGCCUGCCCCCGCCCACCUCGCGUCCCAGCCGCGCCUGCCGCACCUCCCGGAGGUUCCCCCAGGGACAAGAAAACAAAGAUCAAACAGCCCUCCAGGGUUCCUGAGGCUGGACCUCCUGAUACAGAACAGGCUUCCAGCGACUUUUUUUAUGUCCCGAAUGUCUGAGCCCAAUUCUCGGAAACGGAAAUUAACCAUAAGCACGCGGCCAGGUCUACUUCUUGGGGAAACAGAGUGCAGGUGCUAAUGCUGACCUCAGGACCGUGGUGAGGAGGAAAAGGAGAGCACAUGCUUUGUGUCUAGCACAGUGCCUGGAAUGAAGGGUAGUCCACUGUGCAAUCAGGACAUAAUGACUCACCAACGUCUCCUGUCCUCCCAGAGCUCAACCAUCCUGCAUUUCCCCUCAGAGGCCCCUAUGGGGUAUGGUGAGCCCAGUCAGAAAUGUCAAAGCUCUGCCCUAUAGAACAGAGAGAGGGGGGCCCAGGGCAAAAUAAUUUUCCAACUUGGCUCCAGGCCAGAGAAAAUCCUGGAUGGUGUUUAUCAUGACAGAAGGACAAUAACAGGGACAUGCAGAAGGGAACAAAUAUCCCUGUCCCAUCCCAGAAGAAGUAACAGUUCCAAGGGGGAAACGUCAGCUUCUUUAACAAAUACUUUUUUAAAAGAUCUAAUAAAUUUUGGACCCCUGUAGCAUUUUGAGACACUUUAUUCUAAUUUAUAAUGAAAUCUUAUCCCCAAUUAGAUGAGAUUAUUAUUUUUACAGACCUGAAUUUUGGUGGAUGGUAACAGCCUGCUUUCACAGAGAAUGUGGCUGCCCCAAUCCUCACUAUCCUUAGAAAGACUACAAAGUGGCCAAGUGGAGGUGGGUCAGAAUACUUGAUCUAUACUUGUGCUAAUACAGUAACCACUGACCACAUGUGGCUGUUGAGCACCUGACAUGUCUAGUCUGAAUUGAGAUACUGGAGUAAAAUAUACACUGGAUUUCUAAAACUUACUUUGAAAAAAAAGGAUAUAAAUAUCUCAUUAGUAAGUUUAUAUAUUGAUGACAUGUUGAAAUAAUAUUUUGAAUAUAUUGAGUUAAAUAAAAAAUAUUGAUAGAAUUAA